UAGAAAUCCACAGUGAGUGACCAUUGUUAAUCGUGUCUCCAAAACGCAUCUAUAAUCUUUACUCCUCCAAGUGGAACUAUGUCAGUAAGUGUUCUGUGGACCCCUACAAGGUCUGUCCCUUAUGAUAAUGGCUCAACUAACACUAGUCUUCCAUGUUUAGUGGUUUAAUGCAUAUGUGUGCAUCAUUAGCAAGUUAGCUUACAUGUUCUUGUAACUAACCUUCAAUCAGAUGAGACUUCAUUUGAAUGAACAGAUAUAAUGGAUAUGUGCACAGUGAAGAUGAGACCGUUAAAUGUCUAAUUAGACCCCAUUGUGACGUCACUAUAUUUGAGGGGCUCGGUAAAGCCGUGAUCAGUACAGGAAACCCACCGAUUGAGGGUGGUGGUGAUGAAGGAAUGAAGAGAAUACUGAAGAUCUGGAAAUGAUGAACUGGAGGUGAAAGGGGUGGAGGAGGGUCUCAACCAUUUCACACUGAAAUAACAGCUGAAAGCAGCAGAGAGGAGAUUUAAAGUUUGACAGGAGCAACGUGAUUGGCUGGAGGAGAUUGUGGCUGAAUCUGAUUGGAUUAACUGAAUGAGUGAACACCCAUAGCUGAUUAGAAAGAGUGAGAGAAUUGUGAAUGAAUGAGGCACAAUGAGAAGGUCUGCAUUGUGCAUUAUCACCACCCACUGGACUGGAGCAGUACUGCAACCUAUUUGCAUUUAGAAGGUAUUAGGACUGAGUGAACCACGAGGGACCCAAAAGAAACGACAGAUGACACAGGAUCUUGAAGUCUUAAAAUCUUUACUUAAUACAAAUGAAGGUUUGGUACACAGGAGGUCCACGAAACACAAGUAACAAAACCAGAUACGGAGAGGCAGAGUCCAAAAACAAGCUGUAAUCCUAAUCCAUGUUAAUAACCAACACAAAGGUACAAAGACAAACUGGCAGAGGGAGAAUGAAACACAGGCAAUAUAUAGUGAGGGAAAACUAACGAGACACAGGUGAACACAGUCAAGGCUGGCAAACAAUCAAACUAGAGGGGAAAAGACAAAGACAGGAAGUAAAACAACACAGAACACAAGAGGAGGACAACUACAAAAUAAAACAGGAAGUAACACAUGAC